rnacentral:lncRNA from 1 species
GAAAGUUUGAAGAACUGGGGGCGCAAUAUUUAUAUACGGUACCAUUUGGUUCGUGUAUAAAUAAAAAUUAGUUAUUACAGGAAUAGAAACAAGUAUGAGGAUAAGAAAAAUAAUGUUUGGAUGAAAAUUGGGUUAUUCCCGGGGAUAAGAAAAAUAUUAGGAAGUUUUAUAUAAAAAAUAAAAGUGUUGGUGGGAUAAUCGAGAACUACUAUUUUCGGCUAAAAAAUUAAUAUUUGAAUAUAAAGGGAGGGAUAAGGGCCUAUUCCUAUCCCUAUCUCCUAAAAAAUUAAUGUAGAGUAGAAGGA